rnacentral:lncRNA from 1 species
UUUGUAUGAUUGUUUCGAAACGAUGUAAACCGCUACCAACCGCAAAAACUGCGUUUAUGGGUCGUAGCGGAAAAGCCAGCCGGGUCUUUAGUGAACCUUUAAAUUCACCUCUAUUUUUAUUACCAAUCAAAAUGUCACUUAGAUUAAUAAUAAAAUAGAUUAAUUUUAUUUAAAAAAUCUGAAAUAAUUGAAAAAAAUAAUAACGCUAAUUUUAAUUAUCUUAACGCCAAUAACUAAACCCUAAAUUUUAAAUCUACGCCCUAAACCCUAAAUCUAAACCGUAAACCGUAAACCCUAGCUAAACCCAAACCGUAAACUCUAAACCCAAACCCUAUAUCCUAAACCCAAAUCAUAGACUCUAAACUCAAACCAUAUA